AACGAACGCUGGCGGCAGGCCUAACACAUGCAAGUCGAGCGAGGUAGCAAUACCUAGCGGCGGACGGGUGAGUAACGCGUGGGAACGUGCCCCUUGGUACGGAAUAGCCCCGGGAAACUGGGAGUAAUACCGUAUGAGCUCUACGGAGGAAAGAUUUAUCGCCAAGGGAUCGGCCCGCGUUGGAUUAGGUAGUUGGUGGGGUAAUGGCCUACCAAGCCGACAAUCCAUAGCUGGUUUGAGAGGAUGAUCAGCAACACUGGGACUGAGACACGGCCCAGACUCCGACGGGAGGCAGCAGUGGGGAAUCUUAGACAAUGGGGGCAAGCAUGAUGUAGCCAUGCCGCGUGAGCGAUGAAGGCCUUAGGGUUGUAAAGCUCUUUCAGCUGGGAAGAUAAUGACUGUACCAGCAGAAGAAGCCCCGGCCAACUCCGUGCCAGCAGCCGCCGUAA
rnacentral:rRNA from 1 species